UACGUAGGGGGCUAGCGUUGUCCGGAAUCAUUGGGCGUAAAGCGCGCGUAGGCGGCCCUGUUAGUCCGCUGUAAAAGUCAAAGGCUCAACCUUUGAAUGCCGGUGGAUACUGCAGGGCUAGAGUCCGGAAGAGGCGAGUGGAAUUCCUGGUGUAGCGGUGGAAUGCGCAGAUAUCAGGAGGAACACCAACGGCGAAGGCAGCUCGCUGGGACGGUACUGACGC
rnacentral:rRNA from 1 species